GUUCCUUCGGGAGCGAGUACAGCGGCGCACGGGUGAGUAACACGUAGGUAAUCUGCCCUCGAGCCUGGAAUAACCUACCGAAAGGUGGGCUAAUACCGGAUAUGACCACGGAAGUUUCGGCUUCUGCGGUGAAAGGUGGCCUCUACUUGUAAGCUACCACUCAAGGAUGAGCCUGCGUACCAUUAGCUAGUUGGUGGGGUAAUGGCCCACCAAGGCUGUGAUGGUUAGCUGGUCUGAGAGGAUGGCCAGCCACACUGGGACUGAAACACGGCCCAGACUCCUACGGGAGGCAGCAGUGGGGGAUAUUGCGCAAUGGGCGAAAGCCUGACGCAGCGACGCCGCGUGGGUGAUGAAGGCCUUCGGGUCGUAAAGCCCUGUCGAGGGGGAAGAAUCGGCUGCGACCUAACACGUCGUAGCCCUGACGGUACCCCUAAAGGAAGCACCGGCUAACUCCGUGCCAGCAGCCGCGGUAAUACGGAGGGUGCGAGCGUUGUUCGGAAUCACUGGGCGUAAAGCGCGUGUAGGCGGCCCACUAAGUCUGAUGUGA
rnacentral:rRNA from 1 species